GGAGAUGGCUGCUAUGCGUAUCCGACUAAGCCAUGCAAGUCUGGUAGCAAUACCGGCAAACUGCUCAGUAACACGUCGGUAACCUGCCCUAUGGUCGGGGAUAACCUCGGGAAACUGAGGGUAAACCCUGAUAGGCGAAGCUUCCUGGAACGGUGCUUCGUUGAAACUCGCGCCAUAGGAUGGGCCGGCGGCCGAUUAGGUAGUUGGUGGGGUAACGGCCCACCAAGCCAGAGAUCGGUACGGGCCAUGAGAGUGGUUGCCCGGAGAGGGACACUGAGAUACUGGUCCCAGCCCUACGGGGUGCAGCAGACGCGAAAACUCUACAAUGCACGAAAGUGUGAUAGGGGGAUACGCAGUGCUUACGGCUAUGCUAGGCUUUUGUCGAGUUUAGAACACUCGGCGAAUAAGUGGUGGGCAAGACUGGUGCCAGCCGCCGCGGUAACACCAGCGCCACAAGUGGGCAUCGCGAUUAUUGGGCCUAAAGCGUUCGUAGCCGGCUUGGUGAAUCUCUUGU
rnacentral:rRNA from 1 species